rnacentral:rRNA from 1 species
GUGUCAGCCGCCGCGGUAAUACAGAGGGUGCGAGCGUUGUCCGGAAUCACUGGGCGUAAAGGGCGCGUAGGCGGCCCGAUAAGUAGGGGGUGAAAUCCCGUGGCUCAACUGCGGGACUGCCUCCUAGACUGUCGGGCUCGAGCACGGUAGAGGCAGGUGGAAUUCCCGGUGUAGCGGUGGAAUGCGUAGAGAUCGGGAAGAACAUCGGUGGCGAAGGCGGCCUGCUGGGCCGUUGCUGACGCUGAGGCGCGACAGCGUGGGGAGCAAACAGGAUUAGAAACCCCUGUAGUCC